rnacentral:rRNA from 1 species
GGACUACUAGGGUUUCUAAUCCUGUUUGCUCCCCACGCUUUCGCACCUCAGCGUCAGUACCGGGCCAGUGAGCCGCCUUCGCCACUGGUGUUCUUGCGAAUAUCUACGAAUUUCACCUCUACACUCGCAGUUCCACUCACCUCUCCCGGACUCGAGAUUGCCAGUAUCAAAGGCAGUUCCAAGGUUGAGCCUUGGCAUUUCACCCCUGACUUAACAAUCCGCCUACGUGCGCUUUACGCCCAGUGAUUCCGAACAACGCUAGCCCCCUUCGUAUUACCGCGGCGGCUGGCAC